UUUAAAAUAUUCCAGCGGUCCCCCCAGAGUGAGUUUUUUUUAGGCGACCGUUAUUUUAGAACGUUUCCCCUUAAUGUUUCCAUGGCGACGCGUCAUGAUUGUCACGUGACACACCGCGGCCACAAUAACACUGUAUGACAGAUGGAUCGCUUUUAUUUCGUUUUUUCCUUUUUUAUUCAAAAUAUUCAUAAACCUGCUUACCAUAUAAUCAACUAUCUGAUAUUCCGAUUCACAAAUAUGUGCAAAUGAGUGUGUUUUAUCGUUUAAAAACAGUUCUAAAUGAUCUUGAUCGUGAUCUGUAAUGUGAGAUGGGCGCCGCCAUGUUUGUUCGCGCGGCAGUUCAGAGAGUCCUGUCAGUCGGAUUUACAUCACGUAAAUUCAUCAAUUUCUCGCGAAAUACAUGCAAAUCCUGUCAAACGAGUCACCUGUCCAAACAUUGAUACAUCUGAUUUACCGAACCCAAAGGCACUUUUAAGAGCCAACCUCUAUCUCUAUCCAUCUAUUUAUCCAUCUAUCUAUCUAUCUAUAUCUAUCCAUCUAUCUAUCUAUCCAUCUAUCUAUAUAUCGCAGCCUCUCUGUAUACAGUACAUCUGUCUGUUUGUGUCUGUCUGUCUGGCUCUGUGUUCAUCUGUCUGUCUGUAUCUGUUUGCGUUGCAAUGGCCUCCAAACGUAAACUUGACUCCCAGGAUCCUCACUACCAAGAGGGGAGACGCGUGGCUCUUGAACUGAAACUAGACCGUGUUCUAGCUGAAGCCAGGACAGCAGCUGUGGAGAGGAAACGUGCACACUCUGUAGGAGACCCUCCACAGACCUCUAAAAGGGAGUUUUUAGGACAUGGCAAGCCGAGGGGGAGGCAAGCUGCAGCUACAGUCACACACACCCCGGUCGAAUGCUCCUUGUCAUCCAGUGUGGAGGUUCCACUUACUGUCCCCUCAGCAGAACUCAAUCCUCAAGAGCAAUUUGAAAAAAAUUUUGGAGAGGCUCUCCGAUAUUUUGACGUCUUAUCUUUCUGCUGAGCCUCAGAAAAGCUCUGCAUCAUCAUGGUCUUUUCGGCAGCAGAAAGCCUCAGAGCGCUGGAAAGAAGCAAGACCAUACCACCUAAAAUGCCUUAUUGCAACAGAGGCUGUUGGUCAGCCAUUGUGUUGGCUUUGCCAUGAGCCUGCUGUUAUUAGGUGCAGAGAGUGUCUUCCUGAGGAGUGGUUCUGUGGAGACUGUGAUGUAUUGCAUCACAAAAAACAGCCGCUCCACAACAGGGAAUGUGUGAUUCAUGGGUUUUCUGAAGCCAUUCCUCCAACCUCAUGCGUCAUUAAAGGGCGAGAUGGAUAUUGCAUCCAUGAGCAAGCUUGCAUUUUGCCAACAGUGAAGGCGCCAGACUGCUCCUGUGAAGGCACAAACUUCACUAUAUUACCAGGCAAACCAGUGAUUUUAAUUACCAUCAAUGGGCGUUUUGACUUGCAUCAGCCACUACGUGUAUGUCAAACGUGCCAGCAUCAGUGGACCCCUGACUUGAAGGACCUCCUUAGGAGUGGAUAUUGGCCAGCCUCUGACACCAGCUCUACACUUUAUACACUGGACCUCCUCAACUCCUUUCAGGACCUCAAGGUCAUCUCUCCAGGAUUCUCCAGACAAGCCUUCGCAAAGCUGCUGGAGCAUCGCACUAAGAUUGGAGGAAGAUCUGGACAAAUCAACGGUGAUACACUACAGCGCAGCUUCUUAGAGUUUAUGCUUCAUUUGAGGAAGACCAGCUCUGCUGUGGUGCUCCUUUCACCUGCCCAGCCUGCACGCCAGAAAUGUUGGCUGUUUCAGCCGAUGGAAACCGAAAGCUAUAUCGCUUUCGCCGAGACACAAGCUCUGAUGAUCCUGCCUUUUUUGAGGGGCUCUUUGUGGCUGAAGACGCUGCGGUGUCUAGAUUUGUGGAAACCAUACAGAAAGCAGUGAGAAAUAGACAGGGAAAAGGCACAUGUGGGGACUCCCAGUGGACAGCAGCGAGGGAGACAUCAAGGAGGGCUUCCAAAUUGGAUGAAGAGGGGAUGGAGGUUGCAGUGUGUCGCCACGGAUUCCUUCUGAAAGCUCUUAAUAUGUACAGGGGGGAGAUAUUUGCCCACCCUCUGUAUCUUCAGAAGGAGCGCAUGCCAGCCAAGGCACAAUUCUUUACAAUGGAUGUGGCUUGCAAAUAUUGGCCAUACUUGGAGAAAGCUGCUAGUGUCCUUCCUGCUCUUCAAGAUCUGACCACAAUGAAACCUUUCCUCAGUGUGAUGCAUGCUCGAGCCCAUGCUACUAAGUGUGAAAUUAAAUGGAGUGGUAGAAACCAGGAAGGAGCAGGGACAACCGCCGGUGAGGAGGUCGAGCAAGUGAACAGCUACCUCUCACGUUGUGCCCUGACAACCAAAUAUAUGUCCAAAGCAGG